GUGCUCACUUCGGCAGCACAUAUACUAAAAUUGGAAUGAUACAGAGAAGAUUAGCAUGGCCCCUGCACAAGGAUGACACGCAAAUUCGUGAAGCAUUCCAUAUUUAA
ensembl:snRNA U6 U6 spliceosomal RNA